AGACACCAGCCCACGGCGCACGCCCAGCGAGCGUCAGUGCGCUUGACGUGUGCACGCCGCGGUCCGUCCCCCUCCCCGUGGAAAGGGAGGCGCGAGGUGGACGGGGCGCCUGCGCGGAGAGCAGCGCUUUUAACGGUCUUGAGGUUCUUGCCUUCCUCUCCCUCGCCUCGCUUCCCCUUGCGCCGAAACCGGCGUUUUCUGUCCCUUUUUCCUGGCCGUCAGAAGUGUGUGUGUAUGUGUAGUGUGUGUGUGUGUGUGUGUGUGUGUGUGUGUGUGUGUGUGUGACUUCGACUGCAAGACCCGACUCUGCAGAUGCAGUCAGCGCGAAGCUGCACGCGACCGUGAGGGACAUGGAUGGCUGUGAGGAGGUCAGGCGUUUGUGGUGAUGUUUAAGAUCUUUGGAUCGGGAUGCCUCAGAUAUCAAAAUGGCGAGACUGAAAAGAGCCCAAAGUUAACAAACGCACCCUAGAUGUAGUGGAGCAAAUGCUUUCACAGGCGUUAUUUAAAAUCAUCCUCACAAACCCCCAUGAGGUGGGCUUCUAAAUCACAAUCUUAAAGGCGGCAAAGGCGACAUUCUGAGAAGUUACUUGCCCAGUAUCACAAAACUGGGUAGUGGGAAAGGCGUGACUCAAACCCAAGCUCUCUGUUAUUUUAAAACGAGUUUAGGAUUUAUUUCACUGUUCGAUGGGUCACCACUGUAUACUGGCUAUAUUAAUAACAUAGGAAAAAAUGUUCUACCUUCAAGUGUGGCCCCUAAGGGAUGGAUUCAAAACUUUAAAAGGGGGGGGGCGCGUGGAAAUUACAGCUGAAAGAAGUCAUUUUUGUCCUCAUUUUCAAACAUCUCAGUAGUGAACAUUUUACUUAACAAAAAAUAAGACCAUUUGCAUAUCUAAUUUUGGGGGGCUCCUACCAUUUUCUGCCUUCUCUAUUGAUCUGAUUAUUUGAACCACUCUUCCUCUGAGCACUUACCACUGUAAACCCUAAUCAGUUCUUCAAAGUUCAGGUUACUAGAUUAUAAUCUCCUCCUGCAGUCAGAAAGUUCCUCAAAGGCAGUAACUGUUCUUAACCAUUUUUGUAAGCUUUACCUCUAGCAGAGUCUAGUUCAGAGUAACGACUCAAAAAAAUUUUUUUAAUGUUAAUGGAAAGUACAUUCCACUCCCAGGUUUCACUUGUAGAUUUUCCCCAUCGUUCACAUCCUUUUUUCUUUCCCCUUCUGAAUUGCCACUUUUUGUACUAAGCAAUUUAAGAUUUAACUAUAUGAUUUUUCCCUAACAAGCCUGAAAUGCUAGUCCCAAUAGGAUGUAGUAGAACAUGCAAAGGCCACUGAACAAUACAAAACAAAAAAGUACAUUCUAGUGCAAACUUGGUCCUUUUCUGCCCCUCCAAUAACCUUUCCUUAAGAAGCAUUAUUUGUAAAAAGGCCUAACAAAGCUACAUUUCCUACUUUGGACAUAAGAUUGAUAUAACCAUCAAAUGAGAUAAUGAGAUGUGUAAAAGCAUUUUAUAUAUAAGAUAUAUUUAGUGCUAGGCAUUGUUUACUUUUAGAGUUAUUUAAAACUUAUCUGGAUUAUUUUUUAUUUUUCUGUUUAUCUUUGAAAGAGAGAGUGGGAGCGGGAGAGGGACCGAGAGAGGGAAACACAGAAUCCGAAGCAGGCUCCAGGCUCCAAGCUGUCAGCACAGAGCCCGACACGGGGCUCGAACCCAUGAAACACGAGAUCAUGACGUGAGCUGAAGUCGGACACUUAAUCGACUGAGCCACCCAGAGAGAGACAGAGCACAAGCAGGGGUGGGGCAGAGAGAGAGAGGGACACAGAAUCCAAAGCAGGCUCCAGGCUCCAAGCUGCCAGCACAGAGCCCGACGUGGGGCUCGAACUCACGAACCGUGAGAUCAUGACCUGAGCUGAAGUUGGACACUCAACUGACUGAGCCACCCAGGCGCCCCGAAAUGACAUAAGCUAUAAAGACAGCCCACCUGUAGAGAUGUGACCAAAAUGGGAUUCUUACUGCACACUCAUUCCAGGUAAACCUAAAGUUGAUUUGUUUUGUUUUGCUUUGUUUUGUUUUGUUUUGAUACUGGUAAGAAGUUCGUGUUUUACAUUAGUAAUUUUUGCCUUUCUCUCUCUCUCCAGAACACAAGAGAAUUUCAGCUUGUUCUCAAAGAAUACCAAAAUAGUCAGA